rnacentral:rRNA from 1 species
CCUACGGGAGGCAGCAGUGAGGAAUAUUGGUCAAUGGAGGCAACUCUGAACCAGCCAUGCCGCGUGAAGGAUGACGGCCCUAUGGGUUGUAAACUUCUUUUAUAGAGGAAGAAACUUGUCUACGUGUAGACAACUGACGGUACUCUACGAAUAAGGAUCGGCUAACUCCGUGCCAGCAGCCGCGGUAAUACGGAGGAUCCAAGCGUUAUCCGGAUUCAUUGGGUUUAAAGGGUCCGUAGGCGGGUCUUUAAGUCAGUGGUGAAAGCCGACAGCUCAACUGUCGAACUGCCAUUGAUACUGGAGACCUUGAGUACAAAUGAAGUAGGCGGAAUGAGUCAUGUAGCGGUGAAAUGCAUAGAUAUGACUCAGAACACCGAUUGCGAAGGCAGCUUACUAACAUGUAACUGACGCUGAGGGACGAAAGCGUGGGGAGCGAACAGGAUUAGAUACCCUGGUAGUCCACGCCGUAAACGAUCAUCACUCGCUGUUGGCGAUAUACUGUCAGCGGCCAAGCGAAAGUAUUAAGUGAUGCACCUGGGGAGUACGCCGGCAACGGUGAAACUUAAAGGAAUUGACGGA